rnacentral:rRNA from 1 species
GGGGCAACCUGGCGGCGAGCGGCGAACGGGUGAGUAAUGCAUCGGAACAUGUCCAUUCGUGGGGGAUAGCCCGGCGAAAGCCGGAUUAAUACCGCAUACGCCCGAGAGGGGAAAGCCGGGGACCGCAAGGCCUGGCGCGAAUGGGUUGGCCGAUGCCCGAUUAGCUAGUUGGUGAGGUAAAGGCUCACCAAGGCGAUGAUCGGUAGCUGGUCUGAGAGGAUGAUCAGCCACACUGGGACUGAGACACGGCCCAGACUCCUACGGGAGGCAGCAGUGGGGAAUUUUGGACAAUGGGGGCAACCCUGAUCCAGCCAUUCCGCGUGAGUGAAGAAGGCCUUCGGGUUGUAAAGCUCUUUUGUCCGGAACGAAACGGGUAGCGUGAAUAUCGCUGCCUACUGACGGUACCGGAAGAAUAAGCACCGGCUAACUACGUGCCAGCAGCCGCGGUAAUACGUAGGGUGCGAGCGUUAAUCGGAAUUACUGGGCGUAAAGCGUGCGCAGGCGGUUUUGCAAGCCGGAUGUGAAAUCCCCGGGCUUAACCUGGGAAUGGCAUUUGGGACUGCAAGGCUGGAGUGCGGCAGAGGAGACUGGAAUUCCUGGUGUAGCAGUGAAAUGCGUAGAUAUCAGGAGGAACACCGAUGGCGAAGGCAGGUCUCUGGGCUGACACUGACGCUCAUGCACGAAAGCGUGGGGAGCAAACAGGAUUAGAUACCCUGGUAGUCCACGCCCUAAACGAUGUCGACUGGUUGUUGGGGGUUUGACACUCUCAGUAACGAAGCUAACGCGUGAAGUCGACCGCCUGGGGAGUACGGCCGCAAGGUUAAAACUC